GACGAACGCUGGCGGCGUGCUUAACACAUGCAAGUCGAGCGGUAAGGCCCUUUCGGGGGUACACGAGCGGCGAACGGGUGAGUAACACGUGGGUGACCUGCCUUUAGCUCUGGGAUAAGCCUGGGAAACUGGGUCUAAUACCGGAUAUGACCCUAUGGCGCAUGUUGUGGGGUGGAAAGCCUUGUGCGGCUAGGGAUGGGCCCGCGGCCUAUCAGCUUGUUGGUGGGGUGAUGGCCUACCAAGGCGACGACGGGUAGCCGGCCUGAGAGGGCGACCGGCCACACUGGGACUGAGAUACGGCCCAGACUCCUACGGGAGGCAGCAGUGGGGAAUCUUGCGCAAUGGGCGAAAGCCUGACGCAGCGACGCCGCGUGGGGAUGAAGGCCCUCGGGUUGUAAACCCCUUUCGCCAGGGAAGAAGGGAAACUGACGGUACCUGGAGAAGAAGUCCCGGCUAACUACGUGCCAGCAGCCGCGGU
rnacentral:rRNA from 1 species